AUACGGAGGGUGCAAGCGUUAUUCGGAAUCACAGGGCGUAAAGGACGCGUAGGCGGGUUGGCAAGUCAGAUGUGAAAAUCCUACAGCUUAACUGUAGAACUGCAUUUGAAACUGCUAACCUAGAGUAUGGGAGGGGGAGAUGGAAUUAGUGGUGUAGGGGUAAAAUCCGUAGAUAUCACUAGGAAUACCGAAAGCGAAGGCGAUCUCCUGGAACAUAACUGACGCUAAGGCGUGAAAGCGUGGGGAGCAAACAGGAUUAGAAACCCUAGUAGUCC
rnacentral:rRNA from 1 species